AAAUUUUUUGUGAUGAAACUAGACUCAUUCCCCUUCAUUUCCAUAUAAAGUUUGUGCAUUUAUCAUUUGUGGAUUGAGAGUUAUGAUUUUCUGAAGUUAUGUGUUACAUUUGGUGCUAUAUCAAUGAUAUGCAUUUUCCCAAUUUUUGUUCACAUGCUUCCUUGCAUCCAAUUGACCCCAUUUUUUGCAUGAAUCAUCUAUCACAUGUCUAGUUUGUGUUUGAAUUUUUUUUUGGAUUUAAUCUU
rnacentral:lncRNA from 1 species